GACGACCAGCCACACUGGAACUGAGACACGGUCCAGACUCCUACGGGAGGCAGCAGUGGGGAAUUUUGGACAAUGGGCGCAAGCCUGAUCCAGCAAUGCCGCGUGAGUGAAGAAGGCCUUCGGGUUGUAAAGCUCUUUUGUCAGGGAAGAAACGGCUGUGGCUAAUAUCCACGGCUAAUGACGGUACCUGAAGAAUAAGCACCGGCUAACUACGUGCCAGCAGCCGCGGUAAUACGUAGGGUGCAACCGUUAAUCGGAAUUACUGGGCGUAAAGCGUGCGCAGGCGGUUUUGUAAGUCUGUCGUGAAAUCCCCGGGCUCAACCUGGGAAUUGCGAUGGAGACUGCAAGGCUAGAAUCUGGCAGAGGGGGGUAGAAUUCCACGUGUAGCAGUGAAAUGCGUAGAGAUGUGGAGGAACACCGAUGGCGAAGGCAGCCCCCUGGGUCAAGAUUGACGCUCAUGCACGAAAGCGUGGGGAGCAAACAGGAUUAGAUACCCUGGUAGUCCACGCCCUAAACGAUGUCUACUAGUUGUCGGGUUUUAAUUAACUUGGUAACGCAGCUAACGCGUGAAGUAGACCGCCUGGGGAGUACGGUCGCAAGAUUAAAACUCAAAGGAAUUGACGGGGACCCGCACAAGCGGUGGAUGAUGUGGAUUAAUUCGAUGCAACGCGAAAAACCUUACCUACCCUUGACAUGUCAG
rnacentral:rRNA from 1 species